rnacentral:rRNA from 1 species
AAUAGAUACCCUGGUAGUCCACGCCGUAAACGAUGGAUGCUAGCUGUUAUGCGUAUCGACCCGUGUAGUAGCGAAGCUAACGCGUUAAGCAUCCCGCCUGGGGAGUACGAACGCAAGUUUAAAACUCAAAGGAAUUGACGGGGACCCGCACAAGCGGUGGAGCGUGUUCUUUAAUUCGAGGCUAAGCGAAGAACCUUACCAGGGCUUGACAUCCUUGGAAUUUCUCCGAAAGGAGAGAGUACUUUAUUGGACCAAGUGACAGGUGCUGCAUGGCCGUCGUCAGCUCGUGUCGUGAGAUGUUUGGUUAAGUCCAUUAACGAGCGCAACCCUUAUGAAUAGUUGUAUUUUUCUAUUCAGACUGCCCCGGUAACGGGGAGGAAGGGGGGAUGAUGUCAGGUCAGUAUUGCCCUUACGCCCUGGGCUAGAAACGCGCUACAAUGGCCGGUACAAUGCGCUGCCAACCCGCGAGGGGGAGCAAAUCGCAUCAAAGCCGGUCCCAGUUCGGAUAAGAGGCUGAAACUCGCCUCUUUGAAGCCGGAAUCGCUAGU